CCUACGGGCGGCAGCAGUGAGGAAUAUUGGUCAAUGGACGCAAGUCUGAACCAGCCAUGCCGCGUGCAGGAAGACGGCUCUAUGAGUUGUAAACUGCUUUUGUACGAGGGUAAACUCAGACACGCGUACCUGUCUGAAUGUACUGUAUGAAUAAGGAUCGGCUAACUCCGUGCCAGCAGCCGCGGUAAUACGGAGGAUCCAAGCGUUAUCCGGAUUUAUUGGGUUUAAAGGGUGCGUAGGUGGGUUGAUAAGUUAGUUGUGAAAGUCUGCGGCUCAACCUCAAAAUUGCAACUGAUACUGUCAGGCUAGAGAACAGUUGCGGUAGGCGGAAUGCAUGGUGUAGCGGUGAAAUGCUUAGAGAUCAUGAAGAACACCGAUUGCGAAGGCAGCUUACUAAGCUGCUUCUGACAUUGAGGCACGAAAGCGUGGGGAGCAAACAGGAUUAGAUACCCGAGUAGUC
rnacentral:rRNA from 1 species